rnacentral:lncRNA from 1 species
CUGACAGUAUUCCUUUCUAAACUCUGAUGUUUGUCUGUAUGCGCUUCCCCAAAAUAAAUAUACAGUCAUAAUAUGGGGGAGAGGGGUACAUGUGUGUUUGAAGACUUGAACUGCAUUAAAAAAAAAAAAAAAAAAAAAAAAGAUUUCCAUCUGUAGACCAGUAGUCAGAAUCCUCAGGGCAAAAAUGAUACAGUUUUCCUUAGACACUGUGAGAGACUGACUCUAUUUCGCCUGGAAUCUGUGAACAGUCACCAGACCAGAGAGCAUAAAAAGAAACAUUAAAAUGUGCACCCUUAAUGGCACUGGGCAUACAGUUGGCAGAGGGGAGAUUGCUAAUGAAUUUUACAAAAAUUUCAAAUUCUUUAAAUUAAAUCAUUUUUUGUUCCAGGUAUGGCAUGCAGCUUUUCUGCAUCCUGCAACACUAAGCUAUGGAAACAUGCUUUGUUCACAGUCAACUGAAGCACAUCACCUACUAUUGAUUAACUUGAUUGUUGUGAUUCCUAGAAGUGCAAAAUCCCACUUACUUCCAGAAAUGGUCCCUGAAGAUUGGUGGAAGACAUGUACCCAUCUACAAUAACAUCUGGAGAUCACGAUAUUUGCCUGGAGGGUACCUAGAAUACCUGAAGACACUGUGAGUGCUUAGGCAAUUGACUCAAGCUCUCAUUCUCCUCUGGACAUUACUUUUCAACAUAUUCAGUGAAGCUUCCUCGCAUGUUUUAUUCAUAUUCUUUUAAUACUCCUCUCUUCUGAGGAGUGAAGUAAACUAAAUUUUUCUUUUGAUGUAUACUUGCCCAUUCAUUUCCCUUAAUUCACCAUCUGAAAGAAUAAAAUCUUAAAUUUACACUUCA